AUGAAUAAUAUCUGGAUCUUCAAAGGCACAUAUGGACAAAAAUAAGUAAAUUUUGGAAUGAAAUAAUACCAAGAAUCUCAUGAAUCAAUUAUGAGUAGAAUAAUAAAUACUCAAAGCCAAUACCAAACAAAGUAACAAACUGCCAAUUUGACUACAAGUACAUUGAACAUACCCACGAGAAACAAAGAGUCUUGUAAGAUGCUUGCAGGAGAAUUUGUCUGCUCUUUAAAAAGUGAAAGUAGCAUAAUAAUCUCAGAAUGUUAUCUUUGUUAAAGCCUUUUCUAUGGCUUACCUAUCUAAUGGAGAUUAAAGUAUAACUCCACCUAACAAGUAGGGAAAGCAUAUGCUAGUGUUGUAUAGAAUAAGCAUGAAAAAUCCUCCAAAUCGUUUAGCCAAACAUUUCAUGGAAGAUAAAAACACUCGCACUAUGUUUGGGACUUGGGAGUUUUUGUUCGAUAGUAAAUAAGGGAUAUGUUUAAUCCAUGGGAUAGGAAAAAUAAAAAAGAAAUAAAAGAUUAAGUACUUUCUUAUGUUUGGAAGUUUCAAGAGAUAAGAAAGGAUUUUAAGCAUUAAGUGCAUAAUAGUCAUAUUUAAAGAAUAUUUUUAAUGUUACAAGUGGUAUAACGCUCUUGCCCUCAAUUAUGAUGGAAAAGUAAAGAGGAGUUUGAAGGAUAACUUAUCCCUCCCUAUACUUUCUUGUCCCAUCAUGUAAAACUCUUGAACAAAGGAUAUCACUUAUUCCUUUGUCUUAUCCUUUCCUAUCCCUGCAUCCAAACUAAGUGUUAGGCUUAUCCAACAAGAACAAAAAAAGCACUGAUCUAUUAUAAUGUUAAGUAGGGGUGGCAAUUCGAGUUGAUGGGUUAUGUUUGUGUCGUGUCAACACGCGACACGA
rnacentral:misc_RNA from 1 species